CAAUUAAGUGUGGGGGAGUGGUAUUCUAAUUAUAUAUUUGUUGUCAUCAUCUAAAUCUUAAUUAAAUCUUAAUGAAGUUAAAUCGGUAAAAUGAUAAGAGAAAAAUAGAUAAGAUGUUAAGCAUUAAACCUCUUCUUCUAUCGAGUUGAUCAUGUUGAGGAGCUGUGUGCUUCGAUCAAUCUUAUCCGAAACGAUUGGAGAAGAGGAAAAUUGUUUUACCGAGAGGAGGGAGAUUGUUUCUCUUUUCGAAUGAGCAGUGCUCACCAAAAGGGGUGGAGAGUUAUAAUGAGUUUAGUUUUUAUAACAGAUUGCCAAUAAUCAAGGUCAUUUCUAGUGAUUAAAUAUUUACAUUAUCAAUAUUGUAUGCAUUAAUGAACUUGCAUAUUUUUGAAUUUUGUGUUCUAAAUUUUGAUUAAUUUUGCC
rnacentral:lncRNA from 1 species